CAGCCGCCACGGUAAUACGAAGGGGGCUAGCGUUGCUCGGAAUGACUGGGCGUAAAGGGCGCGUAGGCGGUUUGUACAGUUGGAUGUGAAAUUCCUGGGCUUAACCUGGGGGCUGCAUUCAAUACGUGCAGGCUUGAGUGGGGAAGAGGGUCGUGGAAUUCCCAGUGUAGAGGUGAAAUUCGUAGAUAUUGGGAAGAACACCGGUGGCGAAGGCGGCGACCUGGUCCUUGACUGACGCUGAGGCGCGAAAGCGUGGGGAGCAAACAGGAUUAGAUACCCCUGUAGUCCCUGUCUCUUAUAC
rnacentral:rRNA from 1 species